rnacentral:rRNA from 2 species
ACUGCGGAGGAUCAUU